rnacentral:rRNA from 1 species
ACAUGUCUAUAUGAGAGUUAUAUAAAGUCUGGCCUGCCCAUUGGGAACUAAAAGGCCGCGGUAUUAUGACCGUGCGAAGGUAGCAUAAUCAUUAGUCUUUUAAUUGGAGGCUGGAAUGAAUGGUCGGACGAGAAGUAAGCUGUCUUUAUCUCAUAGAUUGAAUUUAACUUUUAAGUGAAAAGGCUUAAAUGAGUUAGAGGGACGAUAAGACCCUAUAAAGUUUGUACAUGGGGUUAAUUAAGAGUGAUUUGGAGUAAUAAAAUUUAUUAUUAGCAAGGUGUUUGGUUGGGGCGACUAGGAUAUAAGUUAUAUAACUGUUUUUUGUUUAAAUCAGAGAUAUCUGUUUAUAUGAUCCCUUUUUAGGAUUAAAGAGUAAAUUACUUUAGGGAUAACAGCGUAAUUUUUUUUGAGAGUUCUUAUCGACAAAAGAGUUUGCGACCUCGAUGUUGAAUUAAAAAUUUCUUUGUGGUGUAGCAGUUACGAGAGAAGGUCUGUUCGACCUUUAAAUUUUUACAUGAUUUGAGUUCAGACCGGCGUGAGCCAGGUUG